rnacentral:lncRNA from 1 species
ACUUCUAUCAUUUUCCAACUCUCAUUCACGCCACCAGCCUCCAUCACAAAACACCAUUCUCCGAGAGCACUCCCUUUGUCUCUGUUUUGCUCAAUCACUCUGAUCCCCUUCAUCUCCAUCACGCACCAACUUCACUCGACAAACAUCUACCACAAACAACCACUCCACUCUGGUGAACACCUUCGCUCCCUCACCAUUCAUCGCCAUUGGUGCUCAC